rnacentral:tRNA from 1 species
AGGGACUUGGCUCAGCUGGUAGAGCGCCGGUCUCCAAAACCGGAUGUCGGGGGUUCGAGUCCCUCAGUCCCUGC